rnacentral:rRNA from 1 species
UACGAAGGGGGCUAGCGUUGUUCGGAAUCACUGGGCGUAAAGCGCACGUAGGCGGAUCUUUAAGUCAGGGGUGAAAUCCCGAGGCUCAACCUCGGAACUGCCUUUGAUACUGAGGAUCUUGAGUCCGGGAGAGGUGAGUGGAACUGCGAGUGUAGAGGUGAAAUUCGGUAGAUAUUCGCAAGAACACCAGUGGCGAAGGCGGCUCACUGGCCCGGUACUGACGCUGAGGCACGAAAGCGUGGGGAGCAAACAGG